AGGGUAUGGAAAGUAAAAACCAAAGGGAUCCCAAUGGUGGCAGGAGCACUUGGGGCUAUCACGUAGGAAAGUGACUCCAACAGAUCUAAGGAACAACAUCAACAUCAAGUUUUAAAAUGCUAUGAGAAGAGCACAGUGCUAGGAACAUCUUAGAUAUUAUGUAGGACCCUUCCAGGCCCAGGAUUUAGUAAGACACAUGCACUGUACCAUGCCUAAAGCAAAUAAUGAUGUCUGAACCCAUAAAGAGACCCACAAAAGAGUUAGGAAAGAUGUGCUUUCCACAGAAAUUACACAUUGCAAAGAAAAGGAGAAUAAGAUGUUUUCCCACCUCCACUGAUUUCACGAAACAAGAUCCAAAGCUUGUCAGCUAAGCUGCAUUUAAAGCAAAAGAACCUUGUGAAUUCACAUCAGUAGAAGA